CCGCGGGAACACCGGCGGCCCGAGUGGUGAUCGUGAUUAUUGGGUCUAAAGGGUCCGUAGCCGGUUUGGUCAGUCCUCCGGGAAAUCUGAUAGCUCAACUAUUAGGCUUUCGGGGGAUACUGCCAGACUUGGAACCGGGAGAGGUAAGAGGUACUACAGGGGUAGGAGUGAAAUCUUGUAAUCCCUGUGGGACCACCUGUGGCGAAGGCGUCUUACCAGAACGGGUUCGACGGUGAGGGACGAAAGCUGGGGGGCACGAACCGGAUUAGAUACCCGGGUAGUCCCAGCCGUAAACGAUGCUCGCUAGGUGUCAGGCAUGGCGCGACCGUGUCUGGUGCCGCAGGGAAGCCGUGAAGCGAGCCACCUGGGAAGUACGGCCGCAAGGCUGAAACUUAAAGGAAUUGGCGGGGGAGCACAACAACGGGUGGAGCCCUGCGGUUUAAUUGGACUCAACGCCGGACAACUCACCGGGGGCGACAGCAAUAUGUAGGCCAAGCUGAAGACUUUGCCUGAAUCGCUGAGAAGUGGUGCAUGG
rnacentral:rRNA from 1 species